GACGAACGCUGGCGGCGUGCUUAACACAUGCAAGUCGAACGAAGUGGCGAACGGGUGAGUAACGCGUAAUCAACCUGCCCUUCAGGGGGGGACAACAGUUGGAAACGACUGCUAAUACCGCAUACUGAAGGAGGGGAUUGCGUCUGAUUCGCGAGUUGGAGGGGGAACGGCCCACCAAGGCGAUGAUCAGUAGACGGGCUGGGAGGAAGAACGGCCACAUUGGGACUGGGACACGGCCCAGACUCCUACGGGAGGCAGCAGUGGGGAAUCUUCCGAAAUGGAAGAAAGUCUGACGGAGCAAAGCCGCGUGAGUGAUGACGGCCUUCGGGUUUUAAAGCUCUGUUAAUCGGGACGCGGUACCGGAAUAGAAAGCCACGGCUAACUACGUGCCAGCAGCCGCGGUAAUUC
rnacentral:rRNA from 1 species